rnacentral:tRNA from 1 species
GCCGCAGUAGCUCAGUGUCAGAGCGCCGGUCUUGUAAACCGGACGCCGAGGGUUAAAAUCCUUCCUACGGC